AUUGAACGCUGGCGGCAUGCUUUACACAUGCAAGUCGAACGGUAACAGGCCUUCGGGUGCUGACGAGUGGCGCACGGGUGAGUAAUGCAUCGGAACGUGCCCAGAGGUGGGGGAUAACGCAGCGAAAGCUGUGCUAAUACCGCAUGUGAUCUGAGGAUGAAAGCGGGGGACCAAGCAGCAAUGUUUGGCCUCGCGCCUCUGGAGCGGCCGAUGUCAGAUUAGGUAGUUGGUGGGGUAAAGGCCUACCAAGCCGACGAUCUGUAGCUGGUCUGAGAGGACGACCAGCCACACUGGGACUGAGACACGGCCCAGACUCCUACGGGAGGCAGCAGUGGGGAAUGUUGGACAAUGGGCGCAAGCCUGAUCCAGCAAUGCCGCGUGCGGGAAGAAGGCCUUCGGGUUGUAAACCGCUUUUGUACGGAACGAAAAGGCUCUGGCUAAUACCUGGGGCUGAUGACGGUACCGUAAGAAUAAGCACCGGCUAACUACGUG
rnacentral:rRNA from 1 species